UCAGGGGGCGAGCCUGAUCCAGCCAUGCCGCGUGUGUGAAGAAGGCCUUUUGGUUGUAAAGCACUUUAAGCGAGGAGGAGGCUACCGAGAUUAAUACUCUUGGAUAGUGGACGUUACUCGCAGAAUAAGCACCGGCUAACUCUGUGCCAGCAGCCGCGGUAAA
rnacentral:rRNA from 1 species